CAACUGUCUCUUGGACCGUUCGGAUACAGAUGGGAAUGUAUCCCAGUCCUCUGCCAUUGACCUCAGGAAACGCUGCAGCCAGCUGGAAGGACAUUCAGGUACCCGGGUAGGCUCCUCCCUGCGACAGACCUUCAGCUUCCUCUCGGGCAUGACCGGAAAGGCCAAGACCCGGGAAAAGGAGAAGAUGAAGGAAGCCAAGGAUGCCCGCUAUACCAAUGGGCACCUCUUCACCACCAUUUCAGUUUCAGGCAUGACCAUGUGCUAUGCCUGUAACAAGAGCAUCACAGCCAAGGAAGCCCUCAUCUGCCCAA
rnacentral:lncRNA from 1 species